rnacentral:rRNA from 1 species
CCUACGGGUGGCAGCAGUGGGGAAUCUUGCGCAAUGGACGAAAGUCUGACGCAGCGACGCCGCGUGGGUGAUGAAGGCCUUCGGGUUGUAAAGCCCUGUGGGGAGAGAAGAAUAAGUGUUGGCUAACAUCCAGCAUGGUGACGGUAUCUCCUUAGCAAGCACCGGCUAACUCUGUGCCAGCAGCCGCGGUAAGACAGAGGGUGCAAACGUUGUUCGGAAUUACUGGGCGUAAAGCGCGUGUAGGCGGCUUUGCAAGUCGGAUGUGAAAGCCCUCGGCUCAACCGGGGAAGUGCAUUCGAAACUGCGGAGCUAGAGUCCUGGAGAGGGUGGUGGAAUUCUCGGUGUAGAGGUGAAAUUCGUAGAUAUCGAGAGGAACACCUGUGGCGAAGGCGGCCACCUGGACGGUGACUGACGCUGAGACGCGAAAGCGUGGGGAGCAAACAGGAUUAGAUACCCGAGUAGUC